UACGUAGGGGGCUAGCGUUGUCCGGAAUCAUUGGGCGUAAAGCGCGUGUAGGCGGCCCGGUAAGUCCGCUGUGAAAGUCGGGGGCUCAACCCUGGGAUGCCGGUGGAUACUGUCGGGCUCGAGUACGGAAGAGGCGAGUGGAAUUCCUGGUGUAGCGGUGAAAUGCGCAGAUAUCAGGAGGAACACCAAUUGCGAAGGCAGCUCGCUGGGACGUGACUGACGCUGAGACGCGAAAGCUUGGGGAGCAAACAGG
rnacentral:rRNA from 1 species